GCCGAUGUAGCUCAGUUGGUAGAGCAACACUUUUGUAAAGUGAAGGUCGGGGGUUCAAAUCCCUCCAUCGGCU
rnacentral:tRNA from 1 species